UACGUAAGAUAUUUGAAAAUUUGAGGUUUAAUUGUUCGAUGGAUGAAAUAAAAUUAUAUUAAAUAUGUUUAAUUAUUUUUUUUCAAUAGAAUUGUUAUAUCUAUAUAUCUGCACGCUGAGAAGACAUAUAGAAACAUUAAGUUUAACUGUUAAUUACAAUUCUCGAUCGAUAGUGGAGAAAAAUUCAACGUACUCGAAAUAAAAUCCCGUUGCUCCUAUGCUUUUCGUCCCCGAGUUCGCAUGAUAUAAGCACGAACAAACGGCCGAGUUGAAUGCAAAUCACGCGUUUCACGGUGUGAGAUAGCCAUCCUAUCUGGAGGGACGAACAUCCUGCAAACAUGGAUGUGAGAAGAAUAUGCCAACUAUUAAUCACGGUCUUCGUGUCCAUGUAUUUCUUGCUCUUCUACGCCGGGAUCGCUGUUUUUCUCUAUUUUCUGUGGAUAGGCUAGCCUAGCCAUGAAGGUAUAUUUUGAGAUGUACGUUUGCCACUCUUUCUACCUAUUUGUUACGGAAUUUUUCUGACAAAAUGACUAACCGGUAUCACAGAAAAAAUAAUGUCAUUAAACAACACGUUCGCCUGAAAACAGACUUUGCCUGGAAACGUGAGAAUAGUACGCCCACUUAUAAUCCGCUUUUAAUUAAUUAACUGCACCAUCGGAUAAUGUUUCUGUCGGUUGCAAGGAAUAGGAGGAAACCCGGUGUCUCGAUUGUUUCCUUUCGUGCGGCAGACGCAAAUUUUUGUUUUGUAAUAUAUAUAUGUGUGUGUGUACCUACACGAAGAAACAUGGUGAGCUGGCUUUUGAACGCGGGAGAAGCAAGCGAGCGAGCAGACAGCAAAUAUUACCGGACUGCAGAUAUUUAUACAAUUUCAUAUUUUUGCGAACAUAAUGAAACAAAUGAAAGUUAGUUAUUCGGUGUUGGUCAAGGUAAAUGAGAUAAAAGCAGCGCGUAUUAAUCGCGGCUGUCAACUGUGGGGCAUUAUUAUCGUCGCUCUUCACGGACGCGGAUGCCACGGUCGAGCGAAUCUU